rnacentral:rRNA from 1 species
CAAGCGUUAUCCGGAUUUACUGGGCGUAAAGCGCCCGUAGGCGGCCUGACAAGUUGGACGUGAAAGCUCCUGGCUUAACUGGGAGAGGCCGUUCAAAACUGUCAAGCUAGAGUCUGGAAGAGGCGAGUGGAAUUCCUGGUGUAGCGGUGAAAUGCGCAGAUAUCAGGAGGAACACCAAUGGCGAAGGCAGCUCGCUGGGACGUGACUGACGCUGAGACGCGAAAGCGUGGGGAGCAAACAGG